AUGUGUUGCUGCCAUGCUAUGUUGUCGUCUUAGGUCUCUUUAUGUAGUGGUGUGUUUUGUCCUAUAUUUUAUUUAACUUGCCUAAUUAAAUAAAGGUUAAAUAAAAGAAAUACAACUAUAACCCGCCAAAUGAGAGCAUUUUUGGGAACGGCAGGUUACUGUCGUCAGUGAAUUCCUGACUAUUCCAUCCUUGCUUCUGGUCUCAAGAGCUACCUUAAAAACUCAGCCUUCAAGGUCACAGGACGAAUAUGAGUGUGAACAACAUUUUGUGCCGUGACCCAGAUGAGCAACCUGACCUCUUGACCCUUUUCACUCAGCUAAGACCCAGGCAUCCCUCUGGCCACAACUAAUAAGAGAGGCCACACUCCAUCCCUGUCUUCACCAUCUGGACAUCAUCUUUGUGGUGCUUCAGUGCUGUCAAGGAGCCUGCAGGUGUUUCCCUACCCAGGAAGGCCCCAAUGUGCUGGGUGAUGCCCCCUGCUUCCCCCGCAGCCACCUGGCUCUUCCUAAGGCUGUCCAGCAGAGUGGUCUUUCCGUGAUCUACGUGGCCCAUUAUGGUGACGACAGGAGGACGAGACACCAGGACGGCCGGAUCUGGUGGAGCUCUAGAAUAAACAUUGAUUUACAUUCA